GGUGAGUAACACGUAAACAACCUGCCUUAAGGAUGGGGAUAACAGACGGAAACGACUGCUAAUACCGAAUACGUUCUAAGCAUCGCAUGGUGCAUAGAAGAAAGGGUGGCCUCUACAAGAAAGCUAUCGCCUUAAGAGGGGUUUGCGACUGAUUAGGUAGUUGGUGAGGUAACGGCUCACCAAGCCGACGAUCAGUAGCCGGUCUGAGAGGAUGAACGGCCACACUGGAACUGAGACACGGUCCAGACUCC
rnacentral:rRNA from 1 species